rnacentral:rRNA from 1 species
UACGGAGGGAGCUAGCGUUAUUCGGAAUUACUGGGCGUAAAGCGCACGUAGGCGGCUUUGUAAGUCAGAGGUGAAAGCCUGGAGCUCAACUCCAGAACUGCCUUUGAGACUGCAUCGCUUGAAUCCAGGAGAGGUGAGUGGAAUUCCGAGUGUAGAGGUGAAAUUCGUAGAUAUUCGGAAGAACACCAGUGGCGAAGGCGGCUCACUGGACUGGUAUUGACGCUGAGGCGCGAAAGCGUGGGGAGCGAACAGG